rnacentral:pre_miRNA from 1 species
UUAGUACUUUCUUCGUCCAACAAAGAUGUCUCAAGUUUGUUAAAAUUCGAAUGUAUCUAGACAUGACUUAGUGUAUAGAUGCAUUUAAAUUUAAUCAAAUUUGAGACAUAUUUUUGUUUGACGGAAGGAUUACUUG